GGGUGGUAAUGCCGGAUGCUCCAUCACACUGCAUGGUGUGUUGGGAAAGCCUUUGCGGCAUGGGAUGGGGUCGCGUCCUAUCAGCUUGAUGGCGGGGUAACGGCCCACCAUGGCUUCGACGGGUAGCCGGCCUGAGAGGGCGACCGGCCACAUUGGGACUGAGAUACGGCCCAGACUCCUACGGGAGGCAGCAGUGGGGAAUAUUGCACAAUGGGCGCAAGCCUGAUGCAGCGACGCCGCGUGAGGGAUGGAGGCCUUCGGGUUGUAAACCUCUUUUGUUAGGGAGCAAGGCAUUUUGUGUUGAGUGUACCUUUCGAAUAAGCACCGGCUAACUACGUGCCAGCAGCCGCGGUAAUACGUAGGGUGCAAGCGUUAUCCGGAAUUAUUGGGCGUAAAGGGCUCGUAGGCGGUUCGUCGCGUCCGGUGUGAAAGUCCAUCGCUUAACGGUGGAUCCGCGCCGGGUACGGGCGGGCUUGAGUGCGGUAGGGGAGACUGGAAUUCCCGGUGUAACGGUGGAAUGUGUAGAUAUCGGG
rnacentral:rRNA from 1 species